GUGUCAGCAGCCGCGGUAAAACGUAGGAGGCGAGCGUUAUCCGGAUUCACUGGGCGUAAAGCGCGCGUAGGCGGUUGGUUAAGUCGGACGUGAAAGCCCCUGGCUCAACUGGGGGAGGCCGUUCGAUACUGGCCGGCUUGAGGGUGAGAGAGGGAAGUGGAAUUCCCGGUGUAGCGGUGGAAUGCGUAGAGAUCGGGAGGAACACCAGUGGCGAAAGCGGCUUCCUGGCUCACCCCUGACGCUGAGUGCGCGAAAGCGUGGGGAGCAAACGGGAUUAGAAACCCCAGUAGUCC
rnacentral:rRNA from 1 species